CAACCCCCUCGCUCCGACGGCUCUGAGCAGCGCUCAGCACUGCUAGAGACGGAAUUGUUAGUGUAAAGGCUAGAUAGAGAUCCUCCAUGAAUAUUCCAGGGCUCCUUGUUUGUCGGGAAGGCUGUCUCGCUUUCAUCUAUUCAGCCUUCUGAUAGACAACCCUGACACCUGCUCCCUGGGGAGACCCUCCGCCAAGUCAGCGCACUGUUCCUUGAGAGACUUCCCUUACUUUAUCAGCCCAUAAAGGAUUGUCACAGGUGACUAUAUCAGCGGAGGUAUGGAGCUGAUCCCUGUGACCUGCCCCAGUGCUGUGAGGUCGAGGCCCCCACGCGGUCGAGGCACCAUGCACAUCACAAGCGGAUUAAGGUGGCUUAAAUGCUGUCAUACAAGCAGACUCAGUGCUUCACACUUUCGAAAAAUGUUAAGCCUUUGUUCUCUUCCAUUAAUUAGCAUUGUCUUAAGUUCAUUAGACCACUGCUCAUGUUGUUACUAAUGAGGCAACGUAGACCACCUACAUCAGCCGUAGCUUUGUAAAGCCUGACCUGACAAUGGCUCCUCCACUUUCCUGUCCAUGGUGUAAUGACAUGCAUAAAGAGGGAUGCUGGAACACA